rnacentral:rRNA from 1 species
CAGCCGCCACGGUAAUACGAAGGGUGCAAGCGUUAAUCGGAAUUACUGGGCGUAAAGCGUGCGUAGGCGGUUUGUUAAGUCUGUUGUGAAAUCCCCGGGCUCAACCUGGGAAUGGCAAUGGAUACUGGCAAGCUAGAGUGUGUCAGAGGAUGGUGGAAUUCCCGGUGUAGCGGUGAAAUGCGUAGAGAUCGGGAGGAACAUCAGUGGCGAAGGCGGCCAUCUGGGACAACACUGACGCUGAGGCACGAAAGCGUGGGGAGCAAACAGGAUUAGAUACCCCUGUAGUCCCUGUCUCUUAUAC